UACCCUUGACAUGUACCGAAGCCCGCCGAGAGGUGGAUGUGCCCGAAAGGGAACGGUAACACAGGUGCUGCAUGGCUGUCGUCAGCUCGUGUCGUGAGAUGUUGGGUUAAGUCCCGCAACGAGCGCAACCCUUGUCAUUAAUUGCCAUCAUUCAGUUGGGCACUUUAAUGAAACUGCCGGUGACAAACCGGAGGAAGGUGGGGAUGACGUCAAGUCCUCAUGGCCCUUAUGGGUAGGGCUUCACACGUAAUACAAUGGCGCGUACAGAGGGUUGCCAACCCGCGAGGGGGAGCUAAUCUCAGAAAGCGCGUCGUAGUCCGGAUCGGAGUCUGCAACUCGACUCCGUGAAGUCGGAAUCGCUAGUAAUCGCGGAUCAGCAUGUCGCGGUGAAUACGUUCCCGGGUC
rnacentral:rRNA from 1 species